rnacentral:lncRNA from 1 species
GGGUGGAAUUGACAGUCAAUGUUGAUUUCAUUACUCAAAGAUGAAAAUGCUCUAGUUUCAAGAUAAUAAUUGUUUGUUAAUCAAAAGAUGUAUUUCUUUCUUUUAGUACAAGAUAAGAAUGUCUAGAAAAGGCGUCUAACAAACAUUGUUGUUUUUCAAGUCGAUAUGUGAUUUUAAAAUCAAAUCUUGAUAAAAACAUGCUUCAACAGGCUUAGCGAUGAUUCAAAACACAUGUUGACAUAAAGUACUCGAGAUUCAUGUGGUCCGUAUAUAUAAUGACUAGAUUAAAAGCACGUAUUAGAUGAUGACACC